rnacentral:rRNA from 1 species
GAUGAACGCUGGCGGCGUGCCUAAUACAUGCAAGUCGAGCGAACAGACGAGGAGCUUGCUCCUUUGACGUUAGCGGCGGACGGGAGAGUAACACGUGGAUAACCUACCUAUAAGACUGGGAUAACUUCGGGAAACCGGAGCUAAUACCGGAUAACAUGUUGAACCGCAUGGUUCAACAGUGAAAGACGGUCUUGCUGUCACUUAUAGAUGGAUCCGCGCCGCAUUAGCUAGUUGGUAAGGUAACGGCUUACCAAGGCAACGAUGCGUAGCCGACCUGAGAGGGUGAUCGGCCACACUGGAACUGAGACACGGUCCAGACUCCUACGGGAGGCAGCAGUAGGGAAUCUUCCGCAAUGGGCGAAAGCCUGACGGAGCAACGCCGCGUGAGUGAAGAAGGUCUUCGGAUCGUAAAACUCUGUUAUUAGGGAAGAACAAAUGUGUAAGUAACUAUGCACGUCUUGACGGUACCUAAUCAGAAAGCCACGGCUAACUACGUG